rnacentral:rRNA from 1 species
GAGACCCACGCCAACAGUUGCCAGCAUGUCCUCCGGGAUGGUGGGGACACUGUUGGGACCGCCUCUGCUAAAGAGGAGGAAGGAAUGGGCAACGGUAGGUCAGCAUGCCCCGAAUUAUCCGGGCUACACGCGGGCUACAAUGGUCAGGACAAUGGGCAUCGACACCGAGAGGUGAAGGCAAUCUCUUAAACCUGUCCUUAGUUCGGAUUGUGGGCUGCAACUCGCCCACAUGAAGCUGGAAUCCGUAGUAAUCGCGUCUCAAAAUGGCGCGGUGAAUAU